rnacentral:rRNA from 1 species
UACGUAGGGGGCUAGCGUUGUCCGGAAUCAUUGGGCGUAAAGCGCGUGUAGGCGGUUCGGUAAGUCCGCUGUGAAAGUCGGGGGCUCAACCCUCGAAUGCCGGUGGAUACUGUCGGGCUAGAGUGCGGAAGAGGCGAGUGGAACUCCUGGUGUAGCGGUGAAAUGCGCAGAUAUCAGGAGGAACACCAAUUGCGAAGGCAGCUCGCUGGGACGUAACUGACGCUGAGACGCGAAAGCGUGGGGAGCAAACAGG